GUUUGAUCCUGGCUCAGGAUGAACGCUAGCGGCAGGCUUAAUACAUGCAAGUCGAGGGGUAAGGCUCAUUUCGAUGAGUACACGACCGGCGCACGGGUGCGUAACGCGUAUACAACCUACCUUUAACAGGAGGAUAGCCCCGAGAAAUCGGGAUUAAUACUCCAUAAUAAUAUUAAAUGGCAUCAUUUUAUAUUUAAAACUCCGGUGGUUAAAGAUGGGUAUGCGUGACAUUAGCUGGUUGGUGAGGUAACGGCUCACCAAGGCUACGAUGUCUAGGGGUUCUGAGAGGAUGAUCCCCCACACUGGUACUGAGACACGGACCAGACUUCUACGGGAGGCAGCAGUGAGGAAUAUUGGUCAAUGGACGCAAGUCUGAACCAGCCAUGCCGCGUGCAGGAAGACGGCCCUAUGGGUUGUAAACUGCUUUUAUUUAGGAAUAACUUCUCGGUCGUGAAUCGAGCUGAAGGUUCUAAAGAAUAAGCACCGGCUUACUCCGUGCCAGCNGCCGCGGUNAUACNGAGGGUGCAGCGUUUCCGGAUUUAUUGGUUUAAAGGG
rnacentral:rRNA from 1 species